rnacentral:rRNA from 1 species
UGGUGGAGUGAUUUGUCUGCCUAAUCGCGAUAACGAACGAGACCUUGACCACUAAAUAGCCCGUACUGCCUCGGCAGUUCGCCGGCCUCUUAGUGGGACUAUCGGCUCAAGCCGAUGGAAGUUCGAGGCAAUAACA